rnacentral:tRNA from 2 species
GCCGCGAUAGCUCAGCGGUAGAGCAGCGCUUUCGUAAAGCGCAGGUCGUCGGUUCAAGCCCGACUCGCGGCU